rnacentral:tRNA from 1 species
CCCUGCUGGCGGGAGGUGUCCGUGGCUGAUUUCUUGCGUCGGCUCGGUGCCGGCCUGGUGGAUCGCAUCUGGCAGCUGGGU